CUUACAACAGUAGGUGUAAACUGUUCAACAUGAUCGCCAAUGGUACACUUGAUGAUCCAAUUCUUCUUUUUGUUUCACUCAGGUUUACAGAUGAGCAACAAAAGCUGUGACAGAACUCUGGGUCAAUGCGAAAACGGAAUAAGAUUAUAAGAAUGUUCGCUGUGAACCGAGAUGAAAAACUUUAGUACAAAAAGUCAUGGUGUACAAGAAUGGCAAAAGUCCAGUCUAGGCUUGGAAAGUAUCGUCAGCAACUGGCUGGCUAUCAACAGGAAUAUCCAAGCUGUUUUCUUCAGCUUCUGUGGUCACCUCCCUUACAUCAGAUACUUCAGAGGAAUGAGGAUUUUCCC
rnacentral:lncRNA from 1 species